CUCGACUGACAUAAAGAUCAUAAAAUAUUUCCAUACACCAAAUAUAGUUGACCUAUGGCAUAUAGCAUUAGAUAAAAAGACCAAAACUCAAAAACUUAACUUUAACCACUGAACCAUGAAAAUGAGGUCAAGGUCACAUGACAUCUGCCCGCUAGACAUGUACACUUAACAAUCAUUCCAUACAACAAAUAUAGUAGACCUAUUGCAUAUGGUAUGAGAAAAACAGACCAAAACACAAAAAUUUAACUAUAACACUGAACUAUGAAAUUGAGGUCAAGGUCAGAUGACACCUGCCAGUUGGACAUGUACACCUUACAGUCCUUCCAUACACCGAAUAUACUAGCCCUAUUGCUUAAGUAUCUGAGAUAUGGACUUGACCACCAAAACUUAACCUUGUUCACUGAUCCAUGAAGUGAGGUCGAGGUCAAGUGAAAACUGUCUGACAGACACGAGGACCUUGCAAGGUACGCACAUAUCAAAUAUAGUUAUCCUAUUACUUAU
rnacentral:lncRNA from 1 species